AAAUCACUGCCACCAACCGUGAACCGUCUCGUCUCCCUCCUCCACCCCACCUCACCGCCGGCCCUUCCCCCCAACCUCCCACCUCUAAACCCCAAUGGCUACCGGAUCCGCCGCACCCCCACCUACCCAUCCCUCUGGCGUCCAAUCUCACUCUUCACGCGGCUCCUCGUUGCGCCACCUACGGUUGCUAAUUCAGGCGAUGUUCGGCUAAUCCUGCCACUAUGAAGCACAUCCCGAGGUCCUCUCGCACCGCGGCGCCCUCCCAUCCGCUAGAUCCGGUGCUUGCGGCCACCAAAUCCCACCCUUGACCCUCCCCCCAUGGCUAGGGUUUCGAGCUUCGGCUCCGGUGCCGGUGGCCAUGUCAUCCUCGUCUCAUCCGACGUGCAGGGUGGAACGGCCACUGGAUAGCCUUGCUGCUACUUGGGACGAAUAGCCAUGGAGCCUACUCCUCCUAGGCGGUUCUGUAAGAGGAGUCAUUGGAAUCGUUUCUUCUGCUAGAGGAGCCAGUCCCGAAUCAACAUCAGAACAUUUCGAAGUUAUUCAUUUGAGGUGAUGUUUUCUUCUUCCAUGCCUGCCUUUUCUGUAGUAUAUGUCCACAUAAAGGAAACCAAAAUGCAGUUUUCAAAUACUGAUAUGUUAUAUUUUUAUUCAUCAACACCAAAUAAUUUACAGUGGUAACUAUUCCAAUAUCUGUGCGAAAUUUUGUGUGGUUAAUUGUAGUAGAAGAUGCUAAUACCAGGAGAAUUUUGUUUAGCAAAGAUAGACGUACACAUUCUAAAUUCAGAUAGUUAAGAAGGGUCCUAAGCCAUAGAAUGCAGAAGUAAGUUAUCAAAUACUCCCUCUAUAUCAUAAUAUUUGUAGUUUGGGAAUAGUUGCAAAUCAGGAAUAUUAAGAGCAUCAUAUUAGCUUAGAGUGUACGUAGAGUACUUUUCAGAUUAACGUGUUGGUGUUGUCUCUCUCAAAAAAAGGCUGACAGUUGAUGCCAGCGAUUUCUUCUUCUUUAGUGAAUCAUGUUUUUCUAAGUGAGUAUUUAAAGGAAACCUCAAAGACUUUAUAUCUCUAUGGAUUUGAUAACCUCACGCCACUGGCCAGGGUUGUUGGGCAUAGGUUGUGUAACUGAAUCUCUUUUGCUGCACGUUUGUAUGCCUAUUGCAUGUGUAGUGAAAUGUCGCCUAGUUACCAAAAAAUAUUCUUGUUUAAGCAUUUAUUUUCUUAAAAUAAUUCAAUUUUAUAGAUUUCUUUGACAAUAUCUUCAUUUAAUCCAUGUAUAUCACAAUUGUUAAGUCAAAGUUAUAGCUACACACACACAGACGCAACACACGCACAUGCACACGCACACGUGCGCGCGCGCACACACACAUUACUUAGAUUGAAUCAUUUUCUAACCACGAGUUUGUGGUGAAUUACUUAUAAUCUGGACGAUAUCCAGUGUUAUAUCUAGAUGGUACACAGGGGCUAAUACUUCAUUUCAGAAAUCACUAUGGUUUGAAUCAGUGGUCAUCUGAUGGAAGAUGCUUCAACAUUUUAGUGUACAGACACAAGCGGAAGGAGCAUGCAGGUUUCAUAGCAGAGAAUUACUCCAUGACACUGCGAAUGCUAAGAUAUAAAGCUCAAUCACAUUAUCAGAACAGCUAGUUAGUAUGAUACUUGUCAUUAUAUUAUUCUGCGGACAUCAUAUUGGCUUUUAUUCUAACUUGGAACAUCUGACCUAUUUCAGGUCCUACGACUCUGCAAUUAUAUUGUGAAUUUAUCUGUUUCACAAUUAGAUUGUGAAUAUAUCUUUGACUUCGUCCUGGUGUUCUUUCAUCAGAUUCAAAAGAUGUAUGGAUGAUUACAUGAGUGUGUGGCAAGUAUACAAUGAUGAUGAUAAUGUUCCGGUUCAUGAUGAUGAUGACGGAUGCUUUCAGUUUAGUUAAGUUGUAGGGAUGUUGUUAUUGUUGGAUGAUGUUCCUUGGUCAAGUUUUAGUUUAACUUGUAGGGAUGUUGAUGGAUGCAUGCGGUUUAAGUUUCGUUGUCAAGAAAAUAUUAAGAUUAUGCAUCACAAUUGGAUGAUGUUCCUCCUGUAAUAUCCACUAUUGUAAUCCAACAAUUUAUCCAAUAUAUGAUUUUUUUUC